CCUUUGUUCUUGGCAUGCAUGCUGUUUCCCCAGUCAGGUGUGUGUGUGUGUGUGUGUGUGUGUGUUGAGGGACAAAAAGGUGCAGCGCUAUGUCUUCGGUGCCAGGCUAUUUCUUGUCUUCUGGUUCUAUCCUCAAUCGCUGGUACACUA
rnacentral:snoRNA from 1 species